AACGAACGCUGGCGGCAUGCCUAACACAUGCAAGUCGAACGAAGCCUUCGGGCUUAGUGGCGCACGGGUGCGUAACGCGUGGGAAUCUGCCCUUGGGUUCGGAAUAACAGUUAGAAAUGACUGCUAAUACCGGAUGAUGUCUUCGGACCAAAGAUUUAUCGCCUAAGGAUGAGCCCGCGUAAGAUUAGCUUGUUGGUGAGGUAAAAGCUCACCAAGGCGACGAUCUUUAGCUGGUCUGAGAGGAUGAUCAGCCACACUGGGACUGAGACACGGCCCAGCCUCCUACGGGGGGCAGCAGUGGGGAAGAUUGGACAAUGGGCGAAAGCCUGCUCCAGCAAUGCCGCGUGAGUGAUGAAGGCCUUAGGGUUGUAAAGCUCUUUUACCGGGGAUGAUAAUGACAGUGCCUGGAGAAUAAGCGCCGGCUAACUCCGUGCCAGCCGCCGCCGUAA
rnacentral:rRNA from 1 species